rnacentral:rRNA from 1 species
AGUGAACGCUGGCGGCAGGCCUAACACAUGCAAGUCGAACGGCAGCACGGCAGUAGCAAUACUGUGGGUGGCGAGUGGCGGACGGGUGAGGAAUACAUCGGGAUCUACCCUGUUGUGGGGGGAUAACGUAGGGAAACUUACGCUAAUACCGCAUAAGAACUGAGGUUGAAAGCGGCGGACCGCAAGGCGUCGCGCGAUUGGAUGAACCGAUGUCCGAUUAGCUAGUUGGCGGGGUAAAGGCCACCAAGGCGACGAUCGGUAGCUGGUCUGAGAGGACGACCAGCCACACUGGAACUGAGACACGGUCCAGACUCCUACGGGAGGCAGCAGUGGGGAAUAUUGGACAAUGGGCGCAAGCCUGAUCCAGCCAUGCCGCGUGGGUG